GCGUCCGUAGCUCAACAGGUCAGAGCAGGCGGCUCAUAACCGUCAGAUGCCAGUUCAAGUCUGGACGGGCGCACCA
rnacentral:tRNA from 1 species